UACGGAGGGAGCUAGCGUUAUUCGGAAUUACUGGGCGUAAAGCGCACGUAGGCGGCUUUGUAAGUUAGAGGUGAAAAGCCUGGAGCUCAACUCCAGAAUUGCUUUUGAUACUGCAUGGCUUGAAUCCAGGAGAGGUGAGUGGAAUUCCGAGUGUAGAGGUGAAAUUCGUAGAUAUUCGGAAGAACACCAGUGGCGAAGGCGGCUCACUGGACUGGUAUUGACGCUG
rnacentral:rRNA from 1 species